UUUAAUUAAAAAGAAUACCUAAUUUAUAGAACAAACUAGAGCUAUUUAGGGGAGAGAAAAAUUAUAAAAAGUAACAGAUGCUUAAAACUAUCUACAGCAGUUACAAUUUUUUCAAAUCUUGAUGAUAUAUCUGGCCAUUAUUCAUGAUGUUCAUCCGAAAAAAACUUAUUGCGAUUUUAUUGUUUUGUCAAAUAAACUGGGUAAACGAUUUUUGGAAAAUAAACAAAAACAAAAAGUCGAAAUUGAGCAUAUAUAGGGAGCAUUGCUUUUAUAAUAAAGCAUUCUGGAGAUUGGACUGAAGAUAAUUGCUAUAUUGAUUACACAGCUGAGGCAAUUAUGAUUAAAGAGUAUGCGUCGUAUAAAGAUUUAGUUGAUGAAGUCGCUAAUCAGAUUGGGAUAGAUUUGAGGUAUAACAAAAUGAAACUUAAGUAUAAAAUAGAAUUGCACCUUUGGAGAUCCACAACGAUAUGGGAAUGAGGGUAUAUGUCUCAUUGAAGAAAGAAGUUCGAGAAUUCGCAAAGUACCCCAUUUGUGUAACUGUAUUUGUGAAUGAUCGUGAUAUAAAUUGUAGAAAUCAUAUUAUGAAUAAGAUAUUUGCAUGUGUAUGAUAAACGGAAGAAGUACUACUAAUAACCAAGCAAUUGUUAUUAGUGCACCAUUAAUCAGUGAUGAGUUAAGUAAUUCUAUUAUCUGCAAUAUGAAUCAUAAAGAAGUCAUUGAGGAUCAAGUUUAUAAGAAUAAACGUACUUUGAAAGCUGUGAUGAUGAAAUAUGUCAUUGAUAAUAGAUUUCAGUGGAAGACAAAAAGAUCAAGUUUAGUAAGGUAUUUUGUAUUUAAAUAUAUUUUAUCUUUUGUUGUUA